rnacentral:rRNA from 1 species
UACGGGCAUCCCUAGUAGCGGCGAGCGAAGCGGGAAGAGCUCAAAUUUAUAAUCUGGCACCUUCGGUGUCCGAGUUGUAAUCUCUAGAAAUGUUUUCCGCGUUGGACCGCACACAAGUCUGUUGGAAUACAGCGGCAUAGUGGUGAGACCCCCGUAUAUGGUGCGGACGCCCAGCGCUUUGUGAUACAUUUUCGAAGAGUCGAGUUGUUUGGGAAUGCAGCUCAAAUUGGGUGGUAAAUUCCAUCUAAAGCUAAAUAUUGGCGAGAGACCGAUAGCGAACAAGUACCGUGAGGGAAAGAUGAAAAGCACUUUGGAAAGAGAGUUAACAGUACGUGAAAUUGUUGGAAGGGAAACGCUUGAAGUCAGACUUGCUUGCUGAGCAAUCGGUUUGCAGGCCAGCAUCAGUUUUCCGGGAUGGAUAAUGGUAGAGAGAAGGUAGCAGUUUCGGCUGUGUUAUAGCUCUCUGCUGGAUACAUCUUGGGGGACUGAGGAACGCAGUGUGCCUUUGGCGGGGGUUUCGACCUCUUCACACUUAGGAUGCUGGUGGAAUGGCUUUAAACGACCCGUCUUGACCC